UGCUGGUCUCUAAUUAAAAUGUCGCUGCUCUUUACAACUAAUUGAUACAACAAGUUACAAAUUUCUUUGUUGCUUCUUCAUUCCCACUGCUUCACUUGGCUAGCCUUAA
ensembl:misc_RNA Y_RNA Y RNA